UACAGGGGGGGCAAGCGUUGUUCGGAAUUACUGGGCGUAAAGGGCUCGUAGGCGGCCAACUAAGUCACACGUGAAAUCCCCAGGCUUAACCUGGGAACUGCGUGUGAUACUGGAUGGCUUGAAUCCGGGAGAGGGAUGCGGAAUUCCAGGUGUAGCGGUGAAAUGCGUAGAUAUCAGGAGGAACACCGAUGGCGAAGGCAGCUCGCUGGGACGGUACUGACGCUGAGGCGCGAAAGCGUGGGGAGCAAACAGG
rnacentral:rRNA from 1 species